CGAACGGGUGAGUAACACGUGAGGAACGUGCCCUUGACUUCGGUAUAGCUCCGGGAAACUGGUGGUAAUCCCGAAUAUGAGCCUGGCCUGCAUGGGUUGGGUUGGAAAGCUUUAUGCGGUCAGGGAUCGUCUCGCGGCCUAUCAGCUUGUUGGUGGGGUAAUGGCCUACCAAGGCAGCGACGGGUAGCCGGCCUGAGAGGGUGACCGGCCACAUUGGGACUGAGACACGGCCCAG
rnacentral:rRNA from 1 species